rnacentral:rRNA from 1 species
AUGAACACCACCAGCAGCAGCAACAGCUACAACAGCAAUAGCAACAGCUACACCAGCAGCAGCAGUAACCAACACAUACCUGCAGGAGACGAGAUGUUGCUGGAUGAGGAAGAAGCAAUUCAUCAGGAAGCAAUAAGAAGAACUUCAGUGAACCUGUCAGAUAAGGAAAGAUUUGCUGUUUAUUUUGCUUUGAAAGUGAUCAAGAGCAGAGAUGGAGCUAUUCAGCCAGAAGACAAGAUACUCAUUGCAAGCCUAUUGAAUACAGGCAUACGAACGGUUGAAAGAAUCUGGAAAGAUGCAAAUGAACAAAUUGCAGAAGGCCAAGUGGUUGUCGCAAGCAAAAGACCAGGUAGAGUUGGAAGAAAGAGAAAGAACUUGGAUCUGUCAAGGGCAUCGACAAUCCCACUCAACAGAAGGAGAACGGUUCGAGCUCUAGCAAGGUCUCUUGGUAUUCCCCGCUCGACCCUACACAGGAGGUUCAAGUUAGGUGAGCUGAAGCGUGUCACUAGCACCGUGAAGCCUACCAUCAAGCCAAAGAAUAAGAUUGCAAGACUGAAAUUUUGCAUGUCCAUGCUCGAUGAGCUUUGGAUCUCAACUCCAUCUCCUCUUUUCAAGCCAAUGACAGACAUGGUCCAUAUAGAUGAGAAAUGGUAUGAUAUGACACGAGUGAAGAAUACGUACUAUCUACUCCCAAAAGAACGUACACCCGAGCGCCCCGUGCCGAAUACGAACUGCAUUGGCAAGGUCAUGUUCCUGACAGCCGUGGCCAAGCCAAGAUAUAGUGAUGAUGGGGAGGUCAUAUUUGAUGGCAAGAUCGGGACUUGGGCCUUCGUCGAAGAGAAGGCGGCAGUCAGAACGAGUCAAAACAGAAUUAGAGGAACUAAAGAACUGAAAAAUGUGAAAGUGACCAGAAAUGUGAUGAGGGAUUAUCUAUGCAACAAGGUGAUCCCUGCUAUACAAGACAAAUGGCCUGACGAAGAUAUUGGAAGAACCAUCUAUAUACAUCAGGAUAAUGCCAAGCCACAUGUCCUGCCUAAUGACGUGGGUUUUCAAGAGGCUGUAGCACAAACGGAUCUUGAUAUUCGGUUGUUGCAACAACCACCCAACAGCCCCGAUAUGAACGUUUUAGACCUAUGCUUGCACAAUUCUCUUCAAUCCCUAACUGAUUGCUUAUCACCUAAAACUAUUCAGGAAUUGGUAGAAGGUGUGGAGGAACAGUUCGAGAACUAUGAGGUUCAGAAGUUGUUUAGAAGCUUCGUGACACUCCAGGCAGUUAUGAUUGAGGUUAUGAAAAAUAAAGGAGGCAAUGAGUAUACACUCCCGUAUUUGCAUAAAGAUCGCCAUCAAAAUGAAGGAAGGUCAGCAAUCUUUCUAUCUUGCGAUGCUCGGCUAGUUGCUGAGACCAAGACCCUUAUAGAGGAAGGAGAGAGAGAGAGGAGUGAGGGAAUGAGAGAUUGA